rnacentral:rRNA from 1 species
AUUGAACGCUGGCGGCAGGCCUAACACAUGCAAGUCGAGCGAGCGGCGGACGGGUGAGUAAUGUAUGGGGACUGCCCGAUGGAGGGGGAUAACUACUGGAAACGGUAGCUAAUACCGCAUACUAUCGGAUUACCCAGAUGGGAUUAGCUAGUGGGUGGGGUAAUGGCUCACCAAGGCGACGAUCCCUAGCUGGUCUGAGAGGAUGAUCAGCCACACGGGAACGGAGACACGGCCCAGACGCCUACGGAGGCAGCAGUGGGGAAUAUUGCACAAUGGGCGCAAGCCUGAUGCAGCCAUGCCGCGUGUAUGAAGAAGGCCCUAGGGUUGUAAAGUACUUUCAGUGGGGAGGCGUUACCGGCAGAAGAAGCACCGGCUAACUCCGUGCCAGCAGCCGCGGUAAUAC